rfam:Cathartes aura contig193034, whole genome shotgun sequence.
AUCGUUUCUCAGCCUUUUGGCUAAGAUCAAGUGUCGUAUCUAUUCUUAUCAGUUUAAUAUCUGAUACAUCUUUGAUGAGAGGACUUUAUAUUAAAUGGAUUUUUGGGCCUAGGAGUUGGACCCGGAGCUUGCUCCCUCCGUUCCACGCAUCGUCCCGGUAUUGCAUUGCCUCCGGAAACAGUGCACCCCUC